rnacentral:misc_RNA from 1 species
GAUGAAGAACGCAGCGAAAUGCGAUACGUAAUGUGAAUUGCAGAAUUCAGUGAAUCAUCGAGUCUUUGAACGCACAUUGCGCCCCCUGGUAUUCCGGGGGGCAUGCCUGUCCGAGCGUCAUUGCUGCCCUCAAGCACGGCUUGUGUGUUGGGCCUCCGUCCUCCUCCCGGGGGACGGGCCCGAAAGGCAGCGGCGGCACCGCGUCCGGUCCUCGGGCGUAUGGGGCUUCGUCACCCGCUCUUGUAGGCCCGGCCGGCGCUUGCCGACACAUCAAUCUUUUUUCCAGGUUGACCUCGGAUCAGGUAGGGAUACCCGCUGAACUUAAGCAUAUCAAUAAGCGGAGGA